AACGAACGCUGGCGGCAUGCCUAACACAUGCAAGUCGAACGAGCCCUUCGGGUCUAGUGGCGCACGGGUGCGUAACGCGUGGGAACCUGCCCUUAGGUUCGGAAUAACUCCACGAAAGGGGUGCUAAUACCGGAUAAUGUCUUCGGACCAAAGAUUUAUCGCCUUUGGAUGGGCCCGCGUUGGAUUAGCUAGUUGGUAGGGUAAAAGCCUACCAAGGCGACGAUCCAUAGCUGGUCUGAGAGGAUGAUCAGCCACACUGGGACUGAGACACGGCCCAGACUCUUACGGGAGGCAGCAGUGGGGAAUAUUGGACAAUGGGCGAAAGCCUGAUCCAGCAAUGCCGCGUGAGUGAUGAAGGCCUUAGGGUUGUAAAGCUCUUUUACCCGGGAUGAUAAUGACAGUACCGGGAGAAUAAGCUCCGGCUAACUCCGUG
rnacentral:rRNA from 1 species